rfam:Capsicum annuum cultivar Zunla-1 chromosome 5, whole genome shotgun sequence
UGAUGGUGAUGAGAAAAGCUUCUUAGCAUGCCCUUAAAUCUCUCCCAAGCUUGGUAGAGAUUUUCUCCAUCUUUCUGUCUGAAAUAUAAUAUCUCACUUCUUAAUCG